rnacentral:rRNA from 1 species
GUGAAUCAUCGAAUCUUUGAACGCACCUUGCACGCUCCGGUAUUCCGGAGCGUAUGCCCGUUUGAGUGUCGUG